rnacentral:rRNA from 1 species
GACAUAGGGGGCAAGCGUUGCUCGGAAUCACUGGGCGUAAAGGGCGCGUAGGCGGGAUGGCAAGUCGGUCGUGAAAUCCUUCGGCCCAACCGAAGAACGUCGGCCGAUACUGCCGUUCUUGAGGGAUGCAGAGGAGACUGGAAUUCCCGGUGUAGCGGUGAAAUGUGUAGAGAUCGGGAGGAACACCGGUGGCGAAGGCGGGUCUCUGGGCAUUUCCUGACGCUGAGGCGCGAAAGCGUGGGGAUCAAACAGG